rnacentral:rRNA from 1 species
CCCUUAGAUGUUCUGGGCCGCACGCGCGCUACACUGACGAAUGCAACGAGCUUAUAACCUUGGCCGAAAGGUCUGGGUAAUCUCCAAAUUUCGUCGUGAUGGGGAUAGAUUAUUGCAAUUAUUAAUCUUCAACGAGGAAUGCCUAGUAAGCGCAAGUCAUCAGCUUGCGUUGAUUACGUCCCUGCCCUUUGUACACAUCGCCCGUCGCUCCUACCGAUUGAAUGGUCCGGUGAAGCGUUCGGACCGUGGCCUUUGGACGGUUCGCCGUCUGUUGGCUGCGGGAAGUUCGUUAAACCUUAUCAUUUAGAGGAAGGAGAAGUCGUANCA